rnacentral:misc_RNA from 1 species
GAAAUGCGAUAAGUAAUGUGAAUUGCAGAAUGCAGUGAAUCAUCGAAUCUUUGAACGCACCUUGCGCUCCUUGGUAUUCCUUGGAGCAUGCCUGUUUGAGUAUCAUGAAAUCUUCAAAGUAAAUCUUUUGUUAACUCAAUUGGUUUCUACUUUGGUAUUGGAGGUCUUUGCAGCUUCACACCUGCUCCUCUUUGUUCAUUAGCUGGAUCUCAGUGUUAUGCUUGGUUCCACUCGGCGUGAUAAGUUAUCUAUCGCUGAGGACACUGUAGAAGGUGGCCAAGGUAAAUGCAGAUGAACCGCUUCUAAUAGUCCAUUGACUUGGACAAUACUUUUAUGAUCUGAUCUCAAAUCAGGUAGGACUACCCGCUGAACUUAAGC